GACGAACGCUGGCGGUGUGCUUAACACAUGCAAGUGGUGCGACGAACCAGGGCUUGCCCUGGGGCAAAGCCGCGAACGGGUGAGUAACACGUGGGUAACCUGCCCCGAUGACUGGGACAACCCGGGGAAACCCGGGCUAAUACCGGAUGACGCAUAUCGGCUCAAGCCGGUAUACCAAAGGUAGCUUCGGCUUCCGCAUUGGGAUGGGCCCGCGGCCCAUUAGCCUGGUGGUGGGGUAACGGCCUACCAAAGCAACGAUGGGUAGCUGGUCUGAGAAGAGGAUCAGCCACACUGGGACGGAGGCACGGCCCAGACCCAAUCGGGAGGCAGCAGUGGGGGAUCGUGCGCAAUGCGCGAGAGCGUGACGCAGCAACACCGCGUGAGGGAAGGCGGCCUUAGGGUUGUAAACCUCUUUCAGUUGGGACGAAGGUUCGACGGUGAAUAGCCGAUCGGACUGACGGUACCUUCAGAAGAAGCUCCGGCUAACUACGUGCCAGCCGCCGCAGUAA
rnacentral:rRNA from 1 species